AGAGUUUGAUCAUGGCUCAGGAUGAACGCUGGCGGCGUGCCUAAUACAUGCAAGUCGAGCGAACAGACGAGGAGCUUGCUCCUCUGACGUUAGCGGCGGACGGGUGAGUAACACGUGGAUAACCUACCUAUAAGACUGGGAUAACUUCGGGAAACCGGAGCUAAUACCGGAUAAUAUAUUGAACCGCAUGGUUCAAUAGUGAAAGACGGUUUUGCUGUCACUUAUAGAUGGAUCCGCGCCGCAUUAGCUAGUUGGUAAGGUAACGGCUUACCAAGGCAACGAUGCGUAGCCGACCUGAGAGGGUGAUCGGCCACACUGGAACUGAGACACGGUCCAGACUCCUACGGGAGGCAGCAGUAGGGAAUCUUCCGCAAUGGGCGAAAGCCUGACGGAGCAACGCCGCGUGAGUGAUGAAGGUCUUCGGAUCGUAAAACUCUGUUAUUAGGGAAGAACAAAUGUGUAAGUAACUAUGCACGUCUUGACGGUACCUAAUCAGAAAGCCACGGCUAACUACGUGCCAGCAGCCGCGGUAAUACGUAGGUGGCAAGCGUUAUCCGGAAUUAUUGGGCGUAAAAGCGCGCGUAGGCGGUUUUUUAAGUCUGAUGUGAAAGCCCACGGCUCAACCGUGGAGGGUCAUUGGAAACUGGAAAACUUGAGUGCAGAAGAGGAAAGUGGAAUUCCAUGUGUAGCGGUGAAAUGCGCAGAGAUAUGGAGGAACACCAGUGGCGAAGGCGACUUUCUGGUCUGUAACUGACGCUGAUGUGCGAAAGCGUGGGGAUCAAACAGGAUUAGAUACCCUGGUAGUCCACGCCGUAAACGAUGAGUGCUAAGUGUUAGGGGGUUUCCGCCCCUUAGUGCUGCAGCUAACGCAUUAAGCACUCCGCCUGGGGAGUACGACCGCAAGGUUGAAACUCAAAGGAAUUGACGGGGGCCCGCACAAG
rnacentral:rRNA from 1 species